rnacentral:rRNA from 1 species
UGCGACGUCACACUGCCGAGAAAAGCUUCUAGCCAGAGACGGUGCACCCGUACCGCAAACCGACACAGGUAGUCGAGGAGAGUAUCCUCAGGUGAGCGAGAGAACUCUCGUUAAGGAACUCGGCAAAAUGGCCCCGUAACUUCGGGAGAAGGGGCGCUGGUCGCAAGAUCAGCCGCAGUGAAAAGGCCCAAGCAACUGUUUAUCAAAAACACAGGCAUCUGCAAAAUCGUAAGAUGAAGUAUAGGUGCUGACACCUGCCCGGUGCUGGAAGGUUAAGAGGAGAGCUUAGCGCAAGCGAAGGUUUGAAUUGAAGCCCCAGUAAACGGCGGCCGUAACUAUAACGGUCCUAAGGUAGCGAAAUUCCUUGUCGGGUAAGUUCCGACCUGCACGAAAGGUGUAAUGAUUUGGGCACUGUCUCAACGAGAGACUCGGUGAAAUUAUAAUACCCGUGAAGAUGCGGGUUACCCGCGACAGGACGGAAAGACCCCAUGGAGCUUUACUGCAGUUUAAUAUUGGGUAUCUGUCAAGCAUGUACAGGAUAGGUAGGAGCCGGAGAAGAUAGGACGCCAGUCUUAUC